rnacentral:misc_RNA from 1 species
GGAAGAUCCGGAAUGAAUAGUUUGAGCGGAGGUUGGUAAUGGGUAGGGAUAUGGAGCCCGACCCGGAUUCCCAUGAGGGCGAGGAAGAGAGGAAUUUAUAGCCAAUGAAAUGGUCGUUACGCGAGUCAGGGGGCGAGUAGAGGCCAAGCCAAUCUAGUUUGGAGGGCGAAUCAACAUUGGACCAGGAGACGGUGACGGUAUCGCCAGAUUUGGAGAGGAUGGUAGGUGUGACGGAAAUUUUGACUUUGGCGAGAGAGGAAGAGGUGAGAAGAGAGAAGAGGAGGAGAAGUAGAGGGAUUUUCAUGGUGAGAGAUAGUGAACAAUUUG